UCUGCUCUUCAGUUAACUAGGGUUAUAAUAUCAGCUUAGAAGAUAUGGGAAGAGUUGAUGACGAGACGCUUUAUAUAAUAUCAAAAAUUAAUAACUUUUUAGAUAAGUACUACAAUAUUACUACUAAAGAAGGUUCUUUAUAUAAUCUUAAUCUCGACCAGAAGGAUAUAAUUUUGGAGCUCCUGAGUAUUGAAUAUUGGUAUUACCGAUUAAACUCGUUUAGGCGUUCGACUUGGGCAGGGUUUCCUUAUAUCCUCUCACCACUUAAAGUUUCACAGAGAGGAUGGCGUAAUAAGGGGAGGAAUGUCUUGUACUGUGACAUUUGCUUAAGCUCUUUCUAUUGUGGGUUUUCAGAUUCUACACAAACUUCCGCUGUUUAUAAUAGGGUUUUAAGUCGUUAUGUAUGCUCUCUCACUGAGAAUCAUGCCGAACAUUGUCCUUGGAAAAAAUUCUAUUGCUCUGAGAAACUGUUACUUCCUUUCCUGUUUUCACCAAAGAAUGCUUUAACGUAUUUCAUUGAUUGUGUUACUGAAAACUAUAAUAAAAUUAAGUUAUUUAAUAUUUCACUUGAAACUUUUUUGGUGGCCUUGAGCCUUCCAGAGGCGUUUAUAGAUACAGUACAUACUUGGUAUGAAAGAAAUAAUCUUGAUUGGAAUUUUUU